AAGCCCACUGAAAAUAUCAUUGUGGAAAGAAUACAUUUUGGGAAAUGAAUGGUGUGACAAAGGCAACGUGAGCUUUCAGUUAUGGCAAUCUUCCAACACUGUUCCUUGUCCCUGUUUUUGUUGUGAGGUCCGUAGGGGAGAAGUGUUGGACACGGGGAGAGUGUGAAAGGCAUAACCACAGGUAAAAAUUUAAUUUUAACAACUGGAGUUUUGUGUCAAAUUAUGCACCAUUACUUAUUUUCAAAGAAAGUCCGGCGACUAAAUGGAUACACUGGAGUCCCUGAUUAUGCGUGGUAGCAUUCUCAGGUUCUCCAGCUACUUGGGUGCAGUGGCGCAAACUUACAUGUUUCUUCCUAUACAAUCCAGCUUAAAAUACAAGCUUUGGCAGUGUGAGUACCUAAACAACAAUAUUACAGUCAGAGCAUUCCUUAACGCACACAAACCAUUCCUUUUGGGUAAGUAACACUGCACUGUGAAAAAGCACACACCUUCAGGGAGAGCAUCAUUUGAUAGCAUCUCCUGCGCCAGAAUUCCCUGGGUUUGCUCCUUUUCCUUGCCUUGGACGCUGCUGUUUACCCAAACUUUUAGCCUUUCUGUACGUUAUCGCUGGUUGGCUCUUUUCCACCACCUGAUUAUUUUUUUUGUUUUUUGCUGUUUCUCUGCAAAUACCUCUUCCUGGAAAACUGGGAACAACACUAAGUGUCUCGGGUUCCUGGCCAAGUUUCCACUCGCAUGGUUUCACUUGCUCCGUUGUGUCAAGUUAUUUACAUGCAGUGUCCUAAGGAUGUAAUGUAGUGGACUGCUAGUAAGCAGCUAACCUUUAUGUCUUGGCCCCAGUCCACACAGGUCAGGUUUACACAAGCCUGCUUCCUCACGAUGAAUUCAGUGGCUACUCUUACAGCCCUUGGUUUCCUGUUGUACGACAUUAUGAUAAAGAUCGUGUUAUGCUGCUCGUACAGAGACUUAAGAAAGGACACGCUAGGUUUGAUCAGUUUAGCUACUGAGUUGCAUGACCCAGAAUCUCUUCUGAACCUUGCUCUUCUGCAUACACAAGACCUAGGGCUCUCAAGGUGAGAAGGAUAUGUUUUUCAUGUCUUAAUAGGUCUGACAUGCUGCAGUAGAGGAGAGGUUUUUCAAAACCAGCAUAGAGGUGUGAGGCUGACUGUCUAAGCUACCUUGCUCAGAGUUUUAUCCUCAGGUUCUGGAUUCAUGUAUGUCAAGAGUUGGUUUGUAUCUAGUAGAGCCUUUUUGGGCUUGCAUUCCCAGGAGGUGUAUUACCUGAGCUCCCUGCUUUGAGCUCUCAGAAAAUACAGUUGUAUGAUGCAGAGGCUGUGGUGGCAUUGCUGGUUGAAGGAGUUUGGUGUUACCUUUUGCUGCUUGCCUUCCUGUGCCACAGUACACCACUCCCUUUUAUGCCAACGCAACUAUCUGGAGUGGCAUAGUGAGCUAUCAGUGUCUUAAUCAGGCUGUGAACGCACCCUCCCUGCCCUGUGUAUGCCUUUCUGUGGCUCAGGGUGGAAGUAGAGAAAGUUUGUACUUGUGCAGCUUUCUGAAACGUGAAUCAGGUUAGUGAGCUGGUUUAGAGUAUUUGCAACAUGGCACUAAAAAUAGGUGGCCACGUGCACAGCUGAAGUCAAGAGUUCUUGGGCUUGUUGCUGAAGCCUCUGUUUCAUUAAAUCAUGCGUCUAAGGAUGCAGCUUAUUUUGUGGGGGAGGAGCAGCAGCAGCAGGGUGUCCCUUGCGCAUGUGGAUGCUUUUGUUAACCGUGUUUUUCUGCUUUAGAUCUCAUGACCCAGCCAAAUGUUUUGCUGCGUGUAGCCGCCUGGGCAGGCAGCAGCAGCUCGAGAAACCCUGAUGUCUGUAAGCAGCACUGGUGAUUGCUAGAUGUAGUCCAGACAAAUCCCAGGGGGAGAAGAGAGCUGGAGUGAGAUGUGGAGCAGUUUUCCCUUAAGUUUGGGGUUUUUUGACUUACAGAGAGUACCAAUAUGUUCUCUUAUGAUGGAAGUAAUUUCUUAUGCUUAGGGAGUUGCAUGUUACCCCUGCGCACAUAGCCAAAUAUCCCUUUUAUAUUUAAUGGCAGAGUAAAUCUGCAAAAAAGAGAAUUGGGAACUAAAGUGUUUCACACAUGAUAGAUGAAAAGCCUAAUCGCAGUUUUCCGUGUCAACAUUUUUGCAGUGCUCCUGAUAUGAGUGAAGUCAGCUUCACUACUGUGAACUCUUACAAUGCAAAUGGGAUUUACUGCCUCCAUCCUGAUAAUGGUGGAUGUCAUCCUCUGACGAGGACGAUGUGGUGGCAGCUGUUUCAGAAUGACGUGCAGUGGCUUCGCUGUACUUGCUCUGCUUUAGCGAAUGUCAGCUAAAAUAGUAAUUGCGUCCCCUAAGAGUUAGAUUAUUGCUGCUGUUAACCUUUCUGGAAAAACAAAUGAGAAGUAGAGGCAGAUGCAAUCCUCACGUGAAUUGGCCGGAGGGUGUUGCACAGCCAAGUGGGCACUACGUCUCAGCGGGGAUGAAAGGCAGUCAUGCUUUACUAGCUCGUUAUCAGCGAGGUCCGUUUAGCCGCCUGCAAAUUCCUGCCCACUGAAAGCUCCUCUCAUCUCCAGGGUAGAUUGUGACUGGAGCAACCGCUGUCCCAAUGCUACCUCCUGGAAACAAGUGGGUUAUUUGGCUGUGGAUUAACCUUGUCAUGAGUACUGAGGCGUGGGACCUGCUUGGCCAUGGAAGCAGCUGUGUGGAGCUGGUGAUUCCAGUGGCUGCAGAAUUCCAGCUAUUGCAUCCCAUCAUUAUAAAGAAGAAAAAAGAAAGCAUGGAGGACGGAGCCCUCCUUUCCUUCUUGUCUAUUGGGAUGUCCUGAACAGCUCCAGAGCUGGUGCAGGGGUCUGAUCAGCUGCUGCCCUCCACCCAUCCCCUGCCCUGGGUGGUGGGACAGCAGCACCCUAUGGUGGAGGAGAAAUAGAGCAACCUAGUGACCAACUCAAGCAAAAGAUUGAAGAGGCAUCUUCCAUAAUGGCUACAAACAGCAGAUAACCUCUGGCUUUCCCUUCCACAAAACACAGGCAAUACCAAACACACAUGAGUAGGAUUUGCAUCCUCCUCUUCUGCAGGGAUCAAGCCUUUUGAACCAGUUUUCAAAACCGUGUCCACAGUGCAGGAAGGGUGUUUGAUGUAUUUGAAGGGUGUUUGAUGUAUUUGAACACAGAGGAAUGCCACAAGAAUGAUUAAGGGAUUAGAGGAACAGGGUCAGAAGGAUAAGACAAGGUUAUUGCAGACACGGGGGUGUAUUCAUGACGCCAGUAUAUGCUGUGGCUCUUCCAGAACAGUUUCCAGUCUACACCAGACGGUAUAGAGCUUUCUGCAGGAUUUAAGUGUGCCCAGCACUUGCGCUCUGCUUGAGGUUAAUAAUAUGGAAAAUCUUGUGUGUGAUUCCUUGCUGUAAUGACCUGUUAGCAUACAUAUGGGCUUUCAGGUUAUGGAAAUGACCCAUGAUUUAUGAAAUAGCCUCUUCCUGUUUGCCAUGAUGCAGUGAAAUACUGAGUCAUCUCUAGCCCUUUAGCCUUCCCUGUACAGGCUCUUUGUUGUUUGCUACCUGUCCCCUAGGACUUGGAUUGAUGAUACUGGACACCAGUUUUUACUUGAACUAGUCUCAGUUUUAUCAGUUUUGGAUGAAUUACUGUCUUGGUACACUUGGCAUAUCGACUUGAAGUGGUUUCUUCCCCAACAAGGAGACUGUUUUGUGUUGCAUGCCAAGGCACCUAACUCUUCUCCCAUAGAGUAAUGAGCCCAGCGGCCCAAGAAGUUCCGGAUUCAGCUGGAAGGUAGAUAGUGCAAUGCUCCACCGGAUUGUAUUUCACCGCCUUUUGGAGCGAGCCCCUAAUGCCACUGAAAUCUCAGCAGUAUGACAUCUGACCCUUCAAGGGCUGAAAUGGAGCAGGUGUCUGAAAACAGAACAUAAAUUCUUUCAUCAGGUUCUUACAGUUGGAUAUUUUAUCAUUUCUCUACAGAAUAUAGUAGGGGCUUAGGUAAAGCAGGUUGGAUGCUCUUUCUUGUUCAGGGUGGCUUAGUUUAGUUUGACUCUGAAAACGUAGCGUCUGGCUAAAGAGCUGCAUAUUCAGCAGCUACAUAGUCUGAUGGGUGUGCUGACAAAUAGCUGGAGACCGCAGAGCUAUGUCGUUGUUAAUUACUUUCUGCUAGGGAGACACUCCUGUUCAUCUCUUGGACACUAUCAUAAGUCACUUAUUGGUCUUGCCUAUCACUGGACCCCGCUGAUACAGUGUGAACUCAUGCGUAAUCUAUACGCCAGUUGUAUAGCCAUCGUGCCUUCCUAGAACCAAGUCUUUUUUAGAUAUUAACCCACAGAGAAAGAGGAAAGAAGAUAGAACAAGCUGAAUGACAUCAAUGGGUAAAAGAGCCAACAAUUUUCCAGAUUUGAAAUGGAGUGCCUUUGGAUAUUGACAAUUUACAGUUGCUUUGUCAAGGCACAGAAUUUUGCAAAAUCUUUGACAAGGAAGAUACGGAUGCGACAUGAUGGUUUUUCUUGUGGAACAUUUUAAUGGCUAUGCUCAGCUUUCCCAGUGGGAUCUUACUUUCUUAGAGCAGAGAUUUGUCACCACUUACUGGUUUUGGAUGAACUUUCUGCCAAAAUCAACAAGGAAGGAAUUGACAGGAUGGACUUUAGUAACAGGGAAAUUGUGACAUGUUUGAAGAGAACGCACGCUCGGAGGAGGGGCUACUGCUGUUUCAAAAAGCAGCUUCUUAUCAGCAAAACAAGCUCUACUCUUUCCUGCAGAUGUCUUGUCUCUGCCUUGCAGCAAUGCUAAGAAGAUGUUUCGUCUUGUGAGAAGCAAAGGGAAAGAGAUUUACCAUAGUAAGAACACCUAUGCACAUGCUAUUUAAACUCCAGUCAUUCUGUUGAGUUGAACUAAGACAAGCAUUAAAACCAGCUGGGACUGUAAUGAUUAGAAGUCUUUGCAGUUAUUACAGGGUCUGUUUUUCUACUGAAUCAACACAUGCUGUAGCUCCUAUGAGAAAGGAAGGAAGUGCAUAUUGGUACAACAGCACACGAAAGUAUCAUUCAUUGCCCUUCUGCUGACUGGUCAUGGGUGACUUGGGGCGGACAUGUCAGCCUUCCAAGACAAAUCAACGGUGCAAAACCUGAGUGUAUGAAAAAUGCCAUUUUUUUAAUACACAAAGAUCAAUCUUAAAGCAGUGGGGAUGCUACGCAGUGCACAGAGCAAUUGUAUCUUUCAGAAAUGUAACUGAACAAAAGUAGCCAGGAGUCCAGGAACUGACUUGAAGCAGUGAUGAUGCCACUUCUUUCCUCUUUCUUCUCACUCUUCCCUGCAACACUACAACCAAAAUUAAUAGUGCGCCAUGUCUUCCCAAGCCUGAAUAUUCACUCACACACAAAGAGAAGAACACGGGAGGCUUUUUAAAAGCCCCAUGAUAACUGGAACAAGAAAACCUUAAUUGUUUAGCUAUGAGUGGAAUGUCCUCUUAUAAAAUGCCAAAUAGCCUUGUGGUUUUUAAGUCAAAAGCUAACAAGAUGAGCUAUGAGCUCUUCCUACUUCUUCUGUUCCUUCACAGUAAAAAUCUGGAGUGCUUUAAAAAUGCUGAGAACAUGACAGUGAUUGACAAGAAAAGAAGGCAUGUAAGGAGAUACUGGGCUGAAGAAAUUUUGAUUAUUUUUAUUAAACAAAAUUGAUACUGAUGUAGGUCUUGCCUUUGCAAUCUCAGCCAGAAGCCAGGGCUAAGUUUUCUCAGCCAAGACCUUUACACACUCUGCCUUUCACCCUUAUGGAAGAACACCUAAUUUGGUAAAAUCCCAGAGUGCCAUUAAGGAGACAGAUCCUAAGAAAUUAAACAGCUUCCUGAACUUUUUAUUUUUAACUUUUUCUCAGUGAAAGCAUGUCUUAUUUUAGUGUGUGUGCAGUGCAUGUGUAAGGCUGCUUCCAUCAUUUCUAUUACGAGAUGCGUGCACUAGUGGAUCCUCAAGCGUGUGGGUUUGGUUCCAGUUAGGUGUGGGCACACGACCACAUUUCCAUGGAAUUAUUAAGUAUCUAUGGUAUGGAGUUCAUACGAGUUUUAUAACAGCUCUAGCUGAUAUCGGAUCUGACAUAAAGUGACAAUGGCACAGAGAGACAGUAGCUGUAAUCCCAUUAAGUGUGUCAGUACGAAAUUAACAAAACUUUUAAAGAAAUUUUAACUGGCAGCGUGAGUUAAAGCUGGAUCUGCAUCUUGGAUAGUGGGUUAGGGCAUAUCUGGUCUGAUAGUAAGGACCCUCCUGUCGUAUUUAUUGUGGCGUUAAGCCACAGUCAGAGAGGGGGAAGGUGAACUGUAUCUUUUAUAGUUACUAAAAAUGGAAAGCACUGUGUCACUGGUAUGUUCUCAGUGAAACAGCCAGUGCUGUAUGACAACUGCUGUUGGAGAUGAUUCAACCAUCAUCUAUCUACAUGUUAAAUCUUCAAAAAGAUUCUGUGUUAUUGCAUAGAGAUGGCAAAGAACAACAUCAAAUUGCUAACAUGUGUUAACAGGGAGAUUUAAAGAAGAUGUGGCAUAGGCAUUUGCAUAACUGUACGUUGUUGAGCUGAGCACGGGUACAGUUCUUGUCUGCUUCGAUCAUUUAACUGGCCUAAGACCAAAACAUACUCUUAAUAUUCAACAGCCACCUAUGCCCAGUAAUGACAGGGUCCUCCAGUGACAUGUUAACUAUGUCAAUAAACUAUUAGCUAAAAGUAGAUGGGUUUUCUGGUUAAAAGAAAACUAGACCUUCAUUAAAUUCUAAGAUAAGGGUAAAAAAAAAUUAUUUCUUUCAUUAUGGAAUCUGGUUAUCUGCCAUGUUUACUUGGUGAGUGCAUAAUUUGAAUCUGCUAAUUUAUUGACGUAACUGAAAUUGCAGCCUAAAUAGUAUAAAAUAUAGCGCAUUGCUUUGUUUUCAAUCAGUUUGGUGAAACUGUAAGUAAAUUACGUAAGUUAUGUGCUUUGUGAGAUUCAUGUUUGUGUACUCAGACCGCAGCCUGGGUCACAAACUCUGAAGGCAUACAGAAGCUCCGGUGUGAAAUCACCAGCCUCUUGUGUGUCUCCAAAGCAACUACGUACACCCCUUACAUUACCCAGGCUGUAACAUCCCCAAUAAAAAAAAAAAAAAGUUAUCUAUCUUGCAAUACUGAGAAUGUAGCUGUUUAUAAAUUAUAAAUGUGCUUACGCGCUGUGGAUUUGCUAGGGUGCCUUCGUUCACCUGCAUAAGUCAACACAAGACACACAAUUGCCAAAUAUAUUCACCUGUAAUGAACACCUACCUGGAUACACAGCCGGUUGGAAACAAGACAAAGUAGGCAAGUACGUAGAGCAUCCAACCAACUGCUGCAGGGCAAAACAGCCACAGCCAUGGGGCCUCCUUUUUCAGCCUGCAGGGGUAGUACCUGUUCUGCUCAUUUUUACUAUGUAUCCUGCUCCCUGGAACAUGAUAUAUAAUAAAACACACAGGGUGGGGGUUGGCACCAGGGAGGAAGGCUGCCUCUGUCUUGUCUUGGAUGCUGCAGCCAUGGUUGGACCCGCGGAAGGGGACAAGAUGCCUUUCUUUGGUGCAGUUAAGCACGAUGAGUUGGCUGAACCAUUUUAAGAGCAGGGUGGGACAGAGAGAAGCAUUUGAAAGAAAGGACCUGCCCUACAAGGAGUUAAUUUAGAAACUUUCUGU